ACCCCAGAAGGCAGUCACAGUCCAAAAACAGAUGCUGAAGCCCCCUACCCGGGAGCCUCAGUGUUUUGCUCUGAUAGACAACAGGGUCUCAGGUCUCCAGCUGGCCUUUACUCUCCUUACAGCCAAAGAUGACCUUGAGGUUCUGACCCUCCUGCUUCCAUCUCUCCAUUCUAAGCUUACAGGCUAUGCCAAGUUUCAAUGUGGUAUUGGGGAUAGAGCCCAGGCUUUGUGCACGCUGAACAAGAGCUCUACCAACUUUGUGUCUCUAUGUGUGUGGGGGUGCAUAUAGAGGCCAGAGGCUGACAUCAGCAAUUCAUUAAAGCAAGUCCUGGAGGCAACACUUGCAGAAAACAAGAAGACUUUCUUUUUUACUUAAAAGCCUAAAAUGAAUUUUAAUAGUUCAUCUGACUUAUUAAAAUAAAUUCACAGAUAAUCAUAA